GUGCUCACUUCAGCAGCACACAUAUUAAAAUUGGAACAACACAGAGAAGAUCAGCACUGUCCCUGAACAAGGAUGACAUGCAAAUUGGCGAAGCAUUUCAUGUUUUU